rnacentral:rRNA from 1 species
UACGUAGGGUCCGAGCGUUGUCCGGAAUUAUUGGGCGUAAAGGGCUCGUAGGCGGUUUGUCGCGUCGGGGAGUGAAAACACGGGGCUUAACCCCGUGCCUGCUUCCGAUACGGGCAGACUAGAGGUAUGCAGGGGAGAACGGAAUUCCUGGUGUAGCGGUGAAAUGCGCAGAUAUCAGGAGGAACACCGGUGGCGAAGGCGGUUCUCUGGGAAUGUCCUGACGCUGAGGAGCGAAAGUGUGGGGAGCGAACAGG